GUUUAAAUUUAGCUAAUCAACUUUAGGUUCGUUCGUAAUAUUUAUUUACUAUGAUAGCGGAAGUUACUAGUCUCGGACUCGAAACAGAGUAGCUGGCUCUGUUUAUCUCAAAAUUAAGUCACAAAAGCUUUCAAGAUUAAUUCUUAUCCUCUCUCAAUUUUUUAUUCGUUGUUUCUUCUCACUUCUGGUGAAUCAAAUUUCCAACCAAUAAAAUCAACAAGGGAGAUCUCACGAGGAUGAUGAAGAAGGAACAUGAAGAGGAUUUUGUGGAAACCAUCAAGAUCCGACCUGUAUAUCCAUGGAUGAUCUCAUCUUUUCUUCUUACUCCAUCUGAAACACUCAAGACUAAUAUCUAUUGUUUUAAGACUUAAAAAACUGAUUUCAGUAGUUUUUGCUUAUUC